UUAGGGGGUGUUAGGGUUUGCCGUUUGUGCACCGCCCGAGCCCUAUUCCUAUUUCUCUCCCUCUCUCGAGUCUCUUCCCUCUCCUCUCCUCCGGAUUCUUCGCCUCCCGAGCCCUCUCCUCCGGACGGACCGGACCUUCGCCUCCCGAGCCCUCUCCUCCGGACGGACUGGACCUUCGCCUCCCGAGCCCUCUCCUCCGAACGGACCGGACCUUCGCCUCCCGAGCCCUCUCCUCCGGACGGACCGGACAUCCCCCUUGCUGACAACUUCCGCCUCCCCGUCGACGGCGACCGCGGCGACUCGACGGGUCCUGGGAACCAAGGUUGAAG
rnacentral:lncRNA from 1 species